AGUGAACGCUGGCGGUAGGCCUAACACAUGCCAGUCGAACGGCAGCACAGUAAGAGCUUGCUCUUACGGGUGGCGAGUGGCGGACGGGUGAGGAAUACAUCGGAAUCUACUUUUUCGUGGGGGAUAACGUAGGUAAACUUACGCUAAUACCGCAUACGACCUACGGGUUAAAGCAGGGGAUCUUCGGACCUUGCGCGUUUGAUUGAGCCGAUGUCGGAUUAGCUAGUUGGCGGGGUAAAGGCCCACCAAGGCGACGAUCCGUAGCUGGUCUGAGAGGAUGAUCAGCCACACUGGAACUGAGACACGGUCCAGACUCCUACGGGAGGCAGCAGUGGGGAAUAUUGGACAAUGGGCGAAAGCCUGAUCCAGCAAUACCGCGUGGGUGAAGAAGGCCUUCGGGUUGUAAAGCCCUUUUGUUGGGAAAGAAAAGCAGCAGGUUAAUACCCCGCUGUUCUGACGGUACCCAAAGAAUAAGCACCGGCUAACUUCGUG
rnacentral:rRNA from 1 species